rnacentral:lncRNA from 1 species
GUCUCACUCUGCUGGUAUUGAUGGAUGGUAUAGGUCUCACACUCUGCUGGUAUUGAUGGAUGGUAUUGGUCUCACUCUGCUGGUAUUGAUGGAUGGUAUAAGUCUCACUCUGCUGGUAUUGAUGGAUGGUAUAGGUCUCACACUCUGCUGGUAUUGAUGGAUGGUAUAGGUCUCACUCUGCUGGUAUUGAUGGAUGGUAUAGGUCUCACUCUGCUGGUAUUGAUGGAUGGUAUAGGUCUCACUCUGCUGGUAUUGAUGGAUGGUAUAGGUCUCACUCUGCUGGUAUUGAUGGAUGGUAUAGGUCUCUUCUUCUUCUUCUUUGGUCUCCUCUGUCCCUGACGAGGCGUUAAACAGGUCUCCUUCCUC